GUAGUCCGGAUUGGAGUCUGCAACUCGACUCCAUGAAGUCGGAAUCGCUAGUAAUCGUAGAUCAGAAUGCUACGGUGAAUACGUUCCCGGGCCUUGUACACACCGCCCGUCACACCAUGGGAGUGGGUUGCAAAAGAAGUAGGUAGCUUAACCUUCGGGAGGGCGCUUACCACUUUGUGAUUCAUGACUGGGGUGAAGUCGUAACAAGGUAACCGUAGGGGAACCUGCGGUUGGAUCACCUCCUUA
rnacentral:ncRNA from 1 species